GUUCCGGCCCCGAAAACCCCUUCACGCCGCAGUUGUUUCCCGCCUGGUGCUCCUCUGAGUAGAUUUUACCCAAUCUUUCGCUCGUCAUCUUCAGCGAAUAUUGUGAAAGUAAGCGGAGGGGAGAAAGGAUGAGGAAAACAAAAGCACACACCUCCGAAGCACACACCUCCUGAUCUCUCUGGACCCCGCCCCCGAAGGGAAGAAACCGGGCAGCGGGGACGGUUGACGCUUCAAACGCCAUCUUUUACGUGGGCGGAAAAAGUCGCUGCUUAAUUUCGUUUUCCUCGUGGGACACCGUAGAAAUGUCUUAUGUGCUGCUUUGGAGCCGGAGCUGAGGAUUUGUUGAUUACCUCCCAUUUACCAGGAUUACAGCAAAUUAGAUUUAACUGUGACUGGCAUGGGACCUAUCUGAUGUCGACAUGGAUGAGGAAUAUUGCUAUAUAAGCCACAGACUUUCUACUCAACAAAUAAUAGUUAAUGGACACAUAAAACAGGAAUGACGAACGUGCUGCAGAAUGCAUCACUCACUGUCAAGGCGGUGGCAUUCUCCAGGAUAAAGAAAGGUAUUUGCCUGCUAUUCAUUACUGAAAGGGGUGGAGAUAAGAUGCUGGCAUCCCUAAAUCAUCUAAUGAUAAAUUCAUCAGGAACAGUAAUAUUGUUCCCGGAAUAUGAAGAUACAAGUCUGCUCUGGGGUCAUGACAGCUGUACUUGAGAUUCAGGUGCUCACAUGAACAGACUAAGUGCCGAUAUACAUGGAAAAGGAAGCUCCAGGCAGUGAGGCAAUGAUUUUCCCUUUCAUAUUGUGAUUUUGAAGAGCCUACAGCAGUGAUUAACACUUUUCAGUAAAAUAAUAACAGCAACGAUCAGAAAACAUUCUGAGAGUGCCUGGGAGCAAAGCAGUUGAAUUGUCCCAGCAUUUUCCUAACGGAACCCAGAAACCCUAAUUAUGAUGGGUGUUUCUUCAGGCAAGCCAUACACAUUUGCUACUGAAAUCAACAACUUCAAUGCCUGUGGUGUUAUAAACACAUGGUGGGCUCUCCCUCAUGGCAUGGAGGAAAGUGCACUGGAUUUGAAAUCAGAACAUCUGGCUUGGGGCCUGGCACUCUGCCCCCUCUGUGUCUUAUUUCACAUCAGAGAGAGAGAGAGAAACAGAGAGAGAGAAAGAGGAUCUUAAACAGCCUCCACGUCCAGAGCCUCCUGACACGAGGCUUGAUCUCCUGAACCACGAGAUCAAGAUCUGA